rnacentral:hammerhead_ribozyme from 1 species
UUUCAAGACGAGUCCCAGAUAGGACGAAACACGCGUCCUGAAC